rnacentral:rRNA from 1 species
GACGAACGCUGGCGGCGUGCUUAACACAUGCAAGUCGAACGAAGUGGCGGACGGGUGAGUAACGCGUAAACAACCUGCCCAUCAGAGGGGGACAACAGUUGGAAACGACUGCUAAUAUCCCAUAUUGUAGGUGGGGAUUGCGUCGGAUAAGCUAGUGGGGGGGGUAACGGCCCACCAAGGCGAUGUUCAGUAGCCGGUCUGAGAGGAUGAACGGCCACAUUGGGACUGAGACACGGCCCAGACUCCUACGGGAGGCAGCAGUGGGGAAUAUUUCACAAUGGGGGCAAGCCUGAUGGAGCAAUGCCGCGUGUAUGAAGAAGGCCUUCGGGUUGUAAAGUACUUUCAGCAAAGAGCGUUACUCGCAGAAGAAGCACCGGCUAACUCCGUGCCAGCCGCCGCGGUAAUAC